GUGGCGAACGGGUGAGUAACACGUGAGCAAUCUGCCCUUGACUCUGGGGUAACUGCGGGAAACUGUAGCUAAUACCGGAUACUUUCCUCGCUGGGCAUCCAGCGGGGAAGAAAGAAUUUCGGUCAAGGAUGAGCUCGCGGCCUAUCAGCUAGUUGGUGAGGUAAAGGCUCACCAAGGCGACGACGGGUAGCCGGCCUGAGAGGGUGACCGGCCACACUGGAACUGAGACACGGUCCAGACUCCUACGGGAGGCAGCAGUGGGGAAUAUUGCACAAUGGACGAAAGCCUGAUGCAGCAACGCCGCGUGAGGGAUGAAGGCCUUCGGGUUGUAAACCUCUUUUAGCAGGGAAGAAGCGAAAGUGACGGUACCUGCAGAAAAAGCACCGGCUAACUACGUGCCAGCAGCCGCGGUAAUACGUAGGGUGCAAGCGUUGUCCGGAAUUAUUGGGCGUAAAGAGCUCGUAGGCGGUUUGUCACGUCUGCUGUGAAAAUCCGAGGCUCAACCUCGGACUUGCAGUGGGUACGGGCAGGCUAGAGUGCGGUAGGGGAGAAGGGAAUUCCUGGUGUAGCGGUGGAAUGCGCAGAUAUCAGGAGGAACACCAAUGGCGAAGGCACUUCUCUGGGCCGUAACUGACGCUGAGGAGCGAAAGCGUGGGGAGCGAACAGGAUUAGAUACCCUGGUAGUCCAC
rnacentral:rRNA from 1 species